GGCAUUCUGGUGACAAAAUUCCUUAGGGGCAGGGCAGGGAGGACAGGGAAGGUGUGGGGAGCAUUCUGCCCUUUCAAAAUGCCUUCCCUUUGCAGACCAGCUGCUCCCCGAGAAAUGAGAACCUCACCCUGGGCAUGCUUCUUCUGAGACCAUUAGAAUUCUUCCCCUCUGUUCGAAUCCCUUGCUCCAGCGGAAACCCACUGGCAGAACCUUGGCAAUGAGCCUGAGCAAUGGAGUCGGGGGCCUCUGGAGACACCCUGCAGCCUCCUGCUCCUACAAUCAUUCUGGACUAGGUGUUUGAAGGAAACACAACCAAUUUGCAAGAGGAAAAAAAUGCGUGUGCUUCUCCUGAAUCUCCUCACACCAUCCCACAAAGUAGCUACAUGGAAAUAAUGCAGAGAAAGGGCUUCGAAAACCACGCGUUCGCGCAAAGGAUUUGGGGGGCGGCCCGGAGGACACGCACCGCAGCGGCCAGCCUCACGCCACGCGACGCGCACGCCUUUCCCCGCGCAGGCCGCGGCAUAGCUGGCCAGGGCGCCGCACAGGCACUCGCGACCGUCCGAGCAGGAGCACACGU